rnacentral:ncRNA from 1 species
UAUGUUUGCAGGUAAGACAUUGAGUACAAAAGAAAUCAGCGAUAGAUGAUAUUAAGCGUAUAGUAAGUACGUCGCCUUCUUUUGGGGAUCACGGAUCCUUUGAGUUCCU